UACGGAGGGGGCUAGCGUUGUUCGGAAUUACUGGGCGUAAAGCGCGCGUAGGCGGACCUGCAAGUCGGGGGUGAAAGCCCGAGGCUCAACCUCGGAACUGCCUUCGAUACUGCGGGUCUCGAGUCCGGGAGAGGUGAGUGGAAUUCCUAGUGUAGAGGUGAAAUUCGUAGAUAUUAGGAAGAACACCAGUGGCGAAGGCGUCUCACUGGCCCGGUACUGACGCUGAGGCGCGAAAGCGUGGGGAGCAAACAUG
rnacentral:rRNA from 1 species